rnacentral:rRNA from 1 species
CUAACUAGAAAAAAGUAAGUCUCAGUUCGGAUUGAAGGCUGAAAUUCGCCUUCAUGAAGCCGGAAUUGCUAGUAAUGGCAGGUCAGCAUACUGCCGUGAAUACGUUCCCGGGCCUUGUACACACCGCCCGUCACACCAUGAGAGUUGGGAACACCCGAAGCCUGUGAGCUAACUAUACGAGGCAGCAGUCGAAGGUAGAAUCAAUGAUUGGGGUGAAGUCGUAACAAGGUACC